rnacentral:rRNA from 1 species
UACGUAGGGUGCAAGCGUUAAUCGGAAUUACUGGGCGUAAAGCGUGCGCAGGCGGUUCUAUAAGACAGAUGUGAAAUCCCCGGGCUUAACCUGGGAACUGCAUUUGUGACUGGCAAGCUAGAGUAUGGCAGAGGGGGGUAGAAUUCCACGUGUAGCAGUGAAAUGCGUAGAGAUGUGGAGGAAUACCGAUGGCGAAGGCAGCCCCCUGGGCCAAUACUGACGCUCAUGCACGAAAGCGUGGG